rnacentral:rRNA from 1 species
UACGAAGGGGGCUAGCGUUGCUCGGAAUCACUGGGCGUAAAGGGUGCGUAGGCGGGUCUUUAAGUCAGGGGUGAAAUCCUGGAGCUCAACUCCAGAACUGCCUUUGAUACUGAAGAUCUUGAGUUCGGGAGAGGUGAGUGGAACUGCGAGUGUAGAGGUGAAAUUCGUAGAUAUUCGCAAGAACACCCGUGGCGAAGGCGGUCCACUGGGCAUCAACUGACGCUGAGGCGCGAAAGCGUGGGUAGCAAACAGG